CCUACGGGUGGCAGCAGUGAGGAAUAUUGGUCAAUGGGCGGGAGCCUGAACCAGCCAAGUCGCGUGAGGGAAGACGGUCCUAUGGAUUGUAAACCUCUUUAGGCGGGGAGCAAUGCCGGGCACGCGUGCCCGGAGGGAGAGUACCCGCAGAAUAAGCAUCGGCUAACUCCGUGCCAGCAGCCGCGGUAAUACGGAGGAUGCGAGCGUUAUCCGGAUUUAUUGGGUUUAAAGGGUGCGUAGGCGGGCUUUUAAGUCAGCGGUAAAAAUUCGGGGCUCAACCCCGUCCGGCCGUUGAAACUGGGGGCCUUGAGUGGGCGAGAAGAAGGCGGAAUGCGUGGUGUAGCGGUGAAAUGCAUAGAUAUCACGCAGAACCCCGAUUGCGAAGGCAGCCUUCCGGCGCCCUACUGACGCUGAGGCACGAAAGUGCGGGGAUCGAACAGGAUUAGAUACCCUAGUAGUC
rnacentral:rRNA from 1 species